rnacentral:rRNA from 1 species
UUGAACGCUGGCGGCAUGCCUUACACAUGCAAGUCGAACGGCAGCACGGGAGAAAUCCUGGUGGCGAGUGGCGAACGGGUGAGUAACAUAUCGGAACGUGCCCAUCAGUGGGGGAUAGCCCGGCGAAAGCCGGAUUAAUACCGCAUACGACCUACGGGUGAAAGCAGGGGAUCGCAAGACCUUGCGCUAUUGGAGCGGCCGAUAUCAGAUUAGCUUGUUGGGGGGUAAGAGCCUACCAAGGCGACGAUCUGUAGCUGGUCUGAGAGGACGACCAGCCACACUGGGACUGAGACACGGCCCAGACUCCUACGGGAGGCAGCAGUGGGGAAUUUUGGACAAUGGGCGCAAGCCUGAUCCAGCCAUGCCGCGUGCGGGAAGAAGGCC